rnacentral:rRNA from 1 species
UACGAAGGGGGCUAGCGUUGCUCGGAAUUACUGGGCGUAAAGCGCACGUAGGCGGCUCUUUAAGUCGGGGGUGAAAUCCUGGAGCUCAACUCCAGAACUGCCUUCGAUACUGAAGAGCUUGAGUCCGGGAGAGGUGAGUGGAACUGCGAGUGUAGAGGUGAAAUUCGUAGAUAUUCGCAAGAACACCAGUGGCGAAGGCGGCUCGCUGGGCCGGUACUGACGCUGAGGUGCGAAAGCGUGGGGAGCAAACAGG